rfam:Canis lupus familiaris chromosome 1, whole genome shotgun sequence.
AGGAGGAACAGCCCCGGUGGCGGGGCAGCUCUGGAAACCUGGAUUCAGCUCCGGCAGGAACUCCGUCUGCAGGGCCUGGAGGCUCCGGGCGGGG